UACGAAGGGGGCUAGCGUUGUUCGGAAUGACUGGGCGUAAAGGGCGCGUAGGCGGCGAUCUUAGUCAGGCGUGAAAGCCCUGGGCUUAACCUAGGAAUUGCGUUUGAUACUGGGUUGCUAGAGUGCGGGAGAGGAUGGUGGAAUUCCCAGUGUAGAGGUGAAAUUCGUAGAUAUUGGGAAGAACACCGGUGGCGAAGGCGGCCAUCUGGACCGUUACUGACGCUGAGGCGCGAAAGCGUGGGGAGCAAACAGG
rnacentral:rRNA from 1 species